UGCAGGGGGCCGGCCGCACUCGCCGCUCCGGGGACCUUUUUGGGGAAGGACGCGUUGGCCGCGCGGAGGACCUGCCGGGGAACGGCAACUGAAAACAGGAGGGUUGCCCAUCACAAGUAGACCUUUCUGCAGCCCUUGGAAGACUGCUCGAAGUACAGAUGACUAUACUUCUCUUACCCUGCAGUGUCAACUAAACCCCAAAAUGCAGCUGGCUAACCAGGACCCUGUACCUCUCAGGUAACAUCUGAUGCCAUAUCAGGCAACAGGAGUGUCAUUCAGAGAGUGAUGUCCAUGAGGCGCUGCACAGACCCUGAGUCCCUUGCAGCUGACUGGAUGCUGCCUGUGCACAAAAUGAGCAGCUUGAAACUUUCAGUUGUUGAUGGCCAACUACUGCAAUGUAACAUGUCUAGCCACCCUCAAUAUAGAGAGGCAAAGACUCUCCAUCAUGGUUUGUGUUUAUUACCUUAGCUUCAGACACAGUGAAAAUUUGGUGGCUUCUGGGUUUCUCUCCUUUUGCUUACUUUAAUGGAUGAGAAAGGUAAGAAAAAGAAGGAUUUUUUUUCUCAAAUGUCUCCCCUUGGGGCUUGCUAUUCUGCUAUGUAGGUUUAACAUGCAGCUAAGCCAAUCUAAUGAUUUCUGGCCACUGAGAAGUGGCUUUAUUUUUUUGUGGCUCUGUGUUCUGUCCCUUUCUUUGUGCUGAUGCUGCUACUUACUGGGCCUGCUUGUCUGCCAUGUGUUUAUUUGGCUCAUGGGAAGUGUCCCAAUGACUGCCAAAAUCAGCACAAGCUAGUCUGGAGUACCCAGCUGGGAGAUGAGUUUUAGAGAUGGAGGAUGUCAUAUUCUUAGCAGCCAUAAAUGGCGAGGCUGACUCAGAGUGACUUCUGGACUGAACUGGGGUAAGCUAAGCAGCUCUUCAAGAAAUGGAAUUGUGAAAUUCAUAUCUCUAUGUAAGCAACAAAAAGAGUUGGCAAGUAAGGAAGAAAUACAUUGAUGAUGAUUGAUGUUAAUACAACUCAUCCUCAUGGGAUUAUCUUGCAUUUUACAACUCUUGAGUUUUUUUCACAUUCUUUGCAAAACGUGCAAACUCUGUCAGAUCCCUUCAGUGAGCUACCACUGACUCAUCUUUUGGCUUAAGAUAUAGUUUCAGUAAGAUCUGGCUGUAUGAUGAAUUAGCACAAGGAGUUAAACCAGAAGAAAACCCAGGUUUUUGCUGUGCUAGCUUUCUGCUCACUUAAUUCCUUGAACCAGGCAGACACCAGUAUUUGCAGAAUUGAGGGUGGAGAAGAAUACUGACAGGGAGAAGGGUGAAGCAGAAUUGCCUUUUCAACAGAAGCUAAACCUUCUAUCCACCUGGUUGCAGUGUGAGACUCCAUCUUUAGGAUGGGUCUUCACAGUUGAUUGAAACUGGUCUCAUUCUGACUUCUUGAGGAAAGAAACUCUACUGCUUUCCUGGUACCAACCCUGAUAAAACAAACCCUGCUCAAAGUGGCUUGUUUGCAAAUGUAGCCAGGGUGUUACUAGCAUCGACAGAAAGAAGAUAAAUUACAUUGAGUUGAAAUGUGAGUUUGGCUUUUUUCUGUAGCUUGGGAUGAGACUCCAAAGACAGUGUUAUUAAUGAGCUAGUAGGGACUACAUGCAGCUCUCUGCUCAUUGUCUGCUACCAGCAAUUUAAGUGUUCACUUGGGCUUCUCUCCUUUGAUAUUUCAUGAUCAUUGAUUUUCCUUUGAACACUGACUCAUUUACCCUAGUCUUCUCCCUCCUAAAGGAUGAGCUAAUGUCAUUAUAAAAAUAAUUCUUUUUUGUGAUCAGCAGGACAAGUGAAGCCUGGUUUCCUAUGGAUUUGGCCUGAUGUGGUACUGCUGUGUGGAUUUUCAUAUGUAUACUAAGCAGUGUCUGCACAUGCUUACCAUUUUAUCAGUGACAGUUCUAUUAGGACCUAUUUCAUCCAUUGGCUUGGCAUUUCACUUGUUACCUUUGUACAAAUUUAGAUGGAAUUUAGCAAUGGUUUAAACAUGCUUUUUUGGCAAGGAAAGUGGGGGAAGUAAUGGGACCCAGGGGCAGAAACACUAAUAUAGAGUCAUUUCAUAAGCCUUCUUUCCUUAGGAAAUCAGGCUAAAAAUUAGUCUUUUGACAGAGACCUCAUGUCAGGCUACAGACACAGAAAAGUAAAUGUUGCUGUUUACCAUGUAAAGCCUUCCAGUUACCUGCUAUAACAGAUUUCUUAUAAGUAAGGCUAAACCAGCAGUUGGUCUUUACUCACUUGGUUAUCUUCUCAUCUUCAGCAAUGUCCCUAUCAGGUUUUGGGAACCUGUGGUUUGUUUGGUUUUGGUUUUGUUUUUGUUUGUUUGUUUUGAUUGUGUUUUGGGGGUUUGUUUGUUUGUUUGUUUUUUUCCAGAAUGUAUUCAUGCAUCAGUUGCUUUCAAUUAUUUUUAAUGUAAUCUUUAUACUUGAAUAAAUGGCUAUGUAGGUAUAAGACA
rnacentral:lncRNA from 1 species